rnacentral:Y_RNA from 1 species
GGCUGGUCCAAGGGCAGUGGUGUUUACAACUAACUGAUCACAGCCAGUUACAGAUUUCUUUGUUCCUUUUCCACUCACUCCCACUGCUUCAUUUGAACAAACAAAC